rnacentral:tRNA from 1 species
GCCGGAAUAGCUCAGUUGGGAGAGCGAUAGACUGAAGAUGUUUACGCAACAGUCAUCUAAAGGCCCCCGGUUCAAUCCCGGGUUCCGGCA